UACGUAGGGUGCAAGCGUUGUCCGGAAUUAUUGGGCGUAAAGAGCUCGUAGGCGGUUUGUUGCGUCGGCUGUGAAAUCCCGAGGCUCAACCUCGGGUCUGCAGUCGAUACGAGCAAACUAGAGUGUUGCAGGAGAGACUGGAAUUCCUGGUGUAGCGGUGAAAUGCGCAGAUAUCAGGAGGAACACCGGUGGCGAAGGCGGGUCUCUGGGCAACAACUGACGCUGAGGAGCGAAAGCGUGGGGAGCAAACAGG
rnacentral:rRNA from 1 species